UUUGACCUCGGAUCAGGUAGGGAUACCCGCUGAACUUAAGCAUAUCAAUAAGCGGAGGAAAAGAAACCAACAGGGAUUGCCCUAGUAACGGCGAGUGAAGCGGCAACAGCUCAAAUUUGAAAUCUGGCUCUUUCAGGGUCCGAGUUGUAAUUUGCAGAGGGCGCUUUGGCUUUGGCAGCGGUCCAAGUUCCUUGGAACAGGACGUCACAGAGGGUGAGAAUCCCGUACGUGGUCGCUAGCUAUUGCCGUGUAAAGCCCCUUCGACGAGUCGAGUUGUUUGGGAAUGCAGCUCUAAAUGGGAGGUAAAUUUCUUCUAAAGCUAAAUACUGGCCAGAGACCGAUAGCGCACAAGUAGAGUGAUCGAAAGAUGAAAAGCACUUUGGAAAGAGAGUCAAACAGCACGUGAAAUUGUUGAAAGGGAAGCGCUUGCAGCCAGACUUGCUUGCAGUUGCUCAUCCGGACUUUUGUCCGGUGCACUCUUCUGCAGGCAGGCCAGCAUCAGUUUGGGCGGUGGGAUAAAGGUCUCUGUCACGUACCUCUCUUCGGGGAGGCCUUAUAGGGGAGACGACAUACCACCAGCCUGGACUGAGGUCCGCGCAUUUGCUAGGAUGCUGGCGUAAUGGCUGUAAGCGGCCCGUCUUGAAACACGGACCAAGGAGUCUAACAUCUAUGCGAGUGUUUGGGUGUCAAGCCCGAACGCGUAAUGAAAGUGAACGGAGGUGGGAACCCGCAAGGGUGCACCAUCGACCGAUCCUGAUGUCUUCGGAAGGAUUUGAGUAAGAGCAUGGCUGUUGGGACCCGAAAGAUGGUGAACUAUGCUUGAAUAGGGUGAAGCCAGAGGAAACUCUGGUGGAGGCUCGCAGCGGUUCUGACGUGCAAAUCGAUCGUCAAAUUUGGGCAUAGGGGCGAAAGACUAAUCGAACUAUCUAGUAGCUGGUUCCUGCC
rnacentral:rRNA from 1 species